rnacentral:snoRNA from 1 species
CCGCUUGAUGAUGAAGAAAUCACCUCCCACAUCUGCAACAACCUCGACUCCGAGUUCAAUCCAGUGGUGUUAGCCCUUGUCACAAGGGUUGAGCCAAUCAUAGUGGUCGAGCUCUACUCGCAGCUCCUCAUGUUCGAGA